AACGGAGAGGGCUAGUGUUAUUCGCAUUGACUGGGUGUAAAGGGCGUGUAGGUGGUUUAUUAAGUUUUAAGAUAAAUUAAAGAUCAAAAAUCUCAAAUCUUCUAAUACUAUUAAACUAGAGUUUAUCGGGAGAUGCUUGAACAUUAAGUGGAGGGGUGAAAUCCAUCGAUAUUUAAAGGGCAUGCAAUAGGCGAAGGCUGGUAUCUACGUUAAUACUGACACUGAGGCGCAAAAGCAUAGGGAUCAAACG
rnacentral:rRNA from 1 species